rnacentral:misc_RNA from 1 species
AAUGAACUGCUUGAGGACUUGGAAUAUGAUCCUUAUGCUGCAACUUUCUUUCCUUGAUAAACCUUUACUCUUUUCUGUUACUUGUCAUUCAAAUCCUGAAUGUACUCCCAGUAGCUCAAAUUUUGCUUCAGAUAUAUAAUUAAUAUACUGUCCAUCUGCCCUGGUCCCAUUCUUUUAGAGGAAAAUUUUAAGCGUAUAUCAUAUACUUACCGAUUAUGUUUGGCACAAUGCAG